rnacentral:rRNA from 1 species
GUGUCAGCAGCCGCGGUAAUACGUAGGGUGCAAGCAUUAAUCGGAUUUAUUGGGCGUAAAGGGGGCGCAGGCGGCAAAAUAAGUCGGAUGUGAAAUCCCAGGGCUCAACCCUGGACCCGCAUUCGAAACUAUUUUACUAGAGGGUAGACGGAGAAAACGGAAUUCCACGUGUAGCGGUGAAAUGCGUAGAUAUGUGGAAGAACACCGGUGGCGAAGGCGGUUUUCUAGUUUAUACCUGACGCUCAUGCCCGAAAGCUAGGGGAGCAAACAGGAUUAGAUACCCUGGUAGUCCUAGCCGUAAACUAUGUAUACUUGGUGUAGUCGGACUCAACCCUGACUGUGCCGUAACUAACGUGUUAAGUAUACCGCCUGGGGAGUACGCUCGCAAGGGUGAA